CCCACAGAGGCUAGAGGGCAUCUGGGUCCCCUGACCUAGAGUUAUAUACGUCUGUGAGCUGCCUGAUGUGGACACAGGGAACUGAACUUGGGUCCUCUGCAAGAAUGGCCAGGAUCGGGCUUUCUGAAGAGGAAUUGGUGCUUUUCUACUUGGGUGCAGUUGCUGAGAAGACAACCUCUACAUUCAGACUCCGGGUUGACUCACAGACUCCUUAUCGUGACCUCAGGCGAAUUGACUAACGCAUUUUCAGCCUGUUUUCUCUAAAAUGGAGAUCUUGAUAAACCUGCCUCAGGGGGAUGUGGCAAGGAGUGAACAAUAUAAGACUUAGAGUUAGCACCCUGUCCAGAUUCUGAAAGGGCUAACAGGUCUUAAAAACAGAACUGUUGAAAAAUGAAGAGCGAUUCCUUCCAGUUUGGUGAAGCUAAAUUGACAGGAUAGUCGAAAGACAAAAGUGGAAAUCAAACGCUUAGUUGGGACCAGUGUGGGGAGUAAGGAAAGCCCAGGGAAGGCUAAGGCCUCCAGCCCAGAAAUAGCUUUGCACACACUAAGAGAUUUCCUGUAGGAUAAGUUAACAGAUCCCUCUAAAUGCAAACCCUUGGGGGUAGGAGAAGCAAGGUGAUCCUGUUUCUGGGUGACUCACUCACUCUGCUGCAAAUUCUUUUCACCAAAUAUCUGAACUGAGAUCCUCACAGCAAGAGGUUGGAAUGGAAUUUCUUAGUUCACUUUGAGACAGGGUAGUUUCUGAAAGAGAGACCUGGGCAGGUGGAAUGUACCUUCAGAGCCUUUGAAUUGGUCCAGGGGGCACCCAGGGCCCUCGGAAAGAGAGAAAAUUCCAGAAGAGGGAGGAGGAGUCCUGGACACAAGAGGCAGUUCCAAGAUAAACUUCCUGAAUUCUGCAGCAUAAUUUGGAUUACUAACUUCCCAUUGCCGAUAAAAGUGGAAUGCAUUCAUGUAUUUGAAAAGAGAAAAACAAGCUGCCCAGAGGCUCAGCGGGUGAAGGCGCUUGCUUCACAAGACUGGCAACUGCAAUUCUGUCUCCGGACCAUGUCCCCACACAUGUACAUCGCACACUGAUAAAAUAAAGUAUCCGUUGGGUAAGCAUUCCGGAAAUAAGGGUCAGCAAAUGUGAGAACAAGAGGUCUAAACAGACUUAGGCUUCUCGGCCGCCUAUUUCUAUUUUAUUCUUGUAUUUUUGUGUUCUUGUAUUCUUUAUAUCUUGUAUUUGUGGAAGCCAGGCUGGGAUCCAGCCCCUUGCCUCAGCUUUGUGUGCACCGAAAUUAUAGGGAUGCAUGUUCUUACCUGUUUCUUGUGAAUAGAUCUUAGGCUUUAGAGCAAACUUAGAGGCAUGGCAAGACAGAGCAGAACAGAUUCUGCCUGCCCUACCCGGCCCCUCCCACACACAGGUGGCUUCCUGUUAUCAGCUGUGUGAGUGCAGUACACUUGCUACAACCGCUGAACCUUGACACACGCUAUCACUCAGUCUGAAAUCUACAUCAGGGUCACACUCAGUGCAGUCUGAGUUUGGACAAAUGGAGUGCCUCUUGUUUGUCUGUACAUUUUAAACACUCUAGGUUUGCCAGCUUUCCAAUGCUGUGACACAAUACCCCAGGGAAACAGUUUAAAGGGGCAUUAGGGUUCUUGGUUUCAAAGGUUUCAGUCCAUGGGACAACUGUUAAUGUUGGGAUAUUUUGAGACAGAACAUCACGGUGGCUGGGGUGGGAGGGGAGUCUGCUCAGUACAUGGCAGGUGGGAGUUAUUGACAAGAGAACAGGACCAGAGACAAAAUACUCUUCAAACUCACCCCCCCCUCAGAGAACUAGUUCCUCUAACUAGGGCUCAUUUCUGAGUGGCACAUUAAGCUAUAGCCUCAUGCUUGAUCAACCCAUUGAAGAGGGAGGUCCUGACCCAGGCACCUUUCAAUGGCCUCCGACCUCUGGACUGUUCUAAGGACCAAGGAUGUGAUGCCUAAACCUUCGAGAGACACCCCAGUUCAUAUCUAACAGGUUUUGGAUAUAGCCAGAAUCUGCUGCAGAACAAACAUGUCUAAUUAUAAUCAGAUCUGGCUGGACAUCCCUUUCUUCUGUAGAUUAUACCUCUCUCUCUCAUUUUGCAUCUAAAAAGCAAAAAAUAAAAUUACUAAACUCAA